rnacentral:rRNA from 1 species
AAAACGACUCUCGGCAACGGAUAUCUCGGCUCUCGCAUCGAUGAAGAACGCAGCGAAAUGCGAUACUUGGUGUGAAUUGCAGGAUCCCGUGAACCAUCGAGUUUUUGAACGCAAGUUGCGCCCGAAGCCUUUCGGCCGAGGGCACGUCUGCCUGGGUGUCACGC